AUCAUACCACCCUUUUUGAAGCUCAGCAGGGUUGGUCCUGGUUAGAACAUGGAUGGGAGGCCACCUGGGAAUACCAGGAAU
rnacentral:rRNA from 1 species